UCACAGAUUGCUCAGUUGGUAGAGCACGAGACUUGAUCUCAGAGUCAUGGUUUCAAGCCCCAUGUUGGGCA